rnacentral:lncRNA from 1 species
CUUCUUGAUAGACUGUCCUAAAUAUAUGUAAAUCGAAGAUAGUUUUACAAUUUGCCAAAUAACCUGAAAGCACUCCUCAACAAAAAUUUAGUUCCGGACAAUUUAUUAGGUUACCUAAAAUGUAUAAAUAUGUUACAGAAAAUUUAACUUAAUUAAUUGUUACAAAUGUUCAAUUGUUCAUAAAUUCUAAUUAAUUGUUACAAUGAUUGAUUGUUAC